rnacentral:rRNA from 1 species
ACGGCGAGUGAAGCGGGAAGAGCUCAAGAUAAGAAUUGUCCUACGUGGUUAAUUUCACGGACAAGUUGUGAUCUUGCGAUUGCGUACCAGGUUGGAGAAAGGUGUAUGAAAGUCUGCUGGAACGCAGCGCCGUGGAAGGUUAUAGCCCUGUUCAUUGUACGCCAAAUUAAUAAUCCGCCAUACGGUCACAAUUCAUCGAGUCGCGUUGCUUGGGAGUGCAGCGCAAAUGGGGAGGUACAGAUCUUCUAAAGCUAAAUAUUGGCGAGAGACCGAUAGCGAACAAGUACCGUGAGGGAAAGAUGAAAUAGCACCUGGAAACGGGAGUGAAAUCAGAGCUUGAAAUUGUUAAAAGGCAAAAGCUGGGGAGACUUUCUAAUUCAUUUAUAUGAAUGUUGCUUUGUGUUGGUAUGUCCUUUCAUCGGGACUUAAUCAUUACACGUUAUAAAGCCGUCAACGCGGUUUACCCUUUUUUAGUGAUAUCGAUAGUUUUCCGAGGUAGUUUCGCAUCUUUAUGACAAAUAAAUGUAUGCACGAUGAGCUCAUAUAAGGAUUAUUAUCAGAACAGGUUUCACGGGGUGAAUUGUCCGGAUAAAACCGGAUAGUAUAAUACUACUGUUAUGGGGUACUGUUGUUGCCUUUAUGUGUAAGGGGGUUUUAUUCCCCGUACAUGAUUGGUUUCAGCAUUAU